AUUUAAAUAGCUUAUAAAGAGUAUAGCAUUGAAGAUGCUAGGGAAAUAAAUUUUAUUUUUAAAUA
rnacentral:tRNA from 1 species